GGCUCGCCUCACCUCCCCGCCUGCCGAAGCCCUCCCGGAAUGCUCCGGGUUCAAUCCCUGAGCACGGCGGUAGGAGAGCGCCCCCCUGCGGCACAGCCACGUCCACGAAACCCCUCCCGGGGUUCUAGAAAGCGGAGGCCUCCGGCCAGGAAGUCUUCGUGCGGUGGGGUCUGCAGAACCAGUAGAAUCCCUCCUGGGGCCACCACGUUCCUGGCACCAUUCUGAGCCUUCGUGAUGCUAAUCUCCUGUCGUGAGUGCCUCCGGAGGGUUGGGGGGCUGUAAUAUUGUUGUCUGUGCAGAAGGAAAGACCGAGGUGCAGAGAGAUGUCUAGAAGGUGCCAGAAGGUGACUAUCCAGCCCUGGUAUCACUGCCUGGUGAUUUCGUUUCCUUUAUCUUCACGCAUGGCCUCACCGGCACCAGCUGUGAUUUGGACCGAAAUCAGCUGCCACGUGCAACAUUCUCCCAUGGGAGCGUGCGCCCGCCGCACCUAUCUCAG